UCUUAAAAAUUAUUCUGAUGCUAGUGCAAACAUGUAGUUUCAUGGCAACCUUAAAGAUCAAAGAAUCUGACAGGACUGUUACCAAGUGAGUUCUACCUGGACUGAACCUACAGUGAGCUCAGUUAAGCUUGUCCCGGCUCUCUGCAUCCGGAUGUGGACUGACGUGGAAUUCUGGACACGCGGUGCUUCCUCUCCUAUGAUGGCCUUGCUUACGGGGACCCGACGACUGACGUGGCGUGCCGUGAUUGGCAGCGGGGAUUCUCUUGGGCCCCGGUCACGUGGCAGCGGAUAAGGAAGGGUGGAGCCGACGAGACGGAACCGAGCCCAUCCAACCGUUCUGGUACGGUUGGUAGAGAGCUUGAGAUUGACGUUGCGUUCUUAUUUUGUCAGCUCGUUUUGUUUUUUUACUGGGAUUUUUCAGUUUUUCUGGAAUCGCAUUGUGAGACCGAUUAUUCAUGCUAUUGUAGCUGUAUGCUCUUUUAGCUUACUGGCUUGUCAAUGACGCUGAAACGUUGGAUGGUUCUGGAGGAAACACACAGGUAAAAUAGGUUCAGUGUUGCAAACAAGGUCUAAAGCAUGCUACGCCGACUAAGCGAUUCGCAAGCGUGUCCAUGUUUUUAGGGUGUCCUCAUCGAGCAGGGUACCCAUUCUGCAAGAAAACAUUUGAUCAUGUUUUCCCCGCAAA